rnacentral:lncRNA from 1 species
AACUGUUUUUCUAUUCUACAUGCUGCAUAUGACAUAGAAAUAUUGAAAUGGCAGUCACAAUAUAAUAACACUCUAACAUCUUUCUCAAGUGUUCAUAUGAGAAGGCUUUCAUGGAAGUAGGCUAUGAUUUCAACAAUUGUGAAAUUCAUUCUUCCAUAAACUAAAAUUUAUACAUUAAUCACUGAAUCCUAAACGGAAAAUAUGAACCCUAAUCGAAUGG